UUGCUUCGUACGUAGUAGUGGGCAGUUCAUUAGGCUUUGGCAGCAUUUUUUUUUUGAUCUUCAGUAAUUGCCCAAAUGCCUUAUCGGAUACACCAUUCUGUGCCUUCCAUUUUAACAAUUCUAGUGUUGUACCCAGUUUUUUUUGCCCAUCCUGGGCAGAUGGGUAUAGUAAUUUCUUGUGAUCUUCUAACAUGUGGUCAAACUUUGUCUUCUCUUUUUCAUUUUCGCAAUCUUUUUUGUGCAUCACGAAUGACAUCACCAAGAGCAUCAUCUUCAACAGGUGCGCCUUCUGCACCUGCCUAAUCUUCAACUUCUCCCAUUGAUGUAUCACCGAAGUCACCGUAUUGAGCAAUAAUGUCGUCAGGCUCCAACUGUUCUUCUUCACCUUCUUCCAUCAUUAUCCCGUUUUCUCCAUGCUUGGUCCAACAAAUAUAGUUUGCCAUAAAACCACACUUCAACAAAUGUGAGUGAAUAUUUCUAGAGCUAGAAUAUUCCUUCAAAUUCUGACACAAGGCACAUGGGCAACAUAUGAAUCCAUCCCGCUUGUUUUCCUCGGCC
rnacentral:lncRNA from 1 species